rnacentral:rRNA from 1 species
UACGUAGGGCGCGAGCGUUGUCCGGAAUUAUUGGGCGUAAAGAGCGCGUAGGCGGUCUGAUAAGUCGGUUGUGAAAGUCGGGGGCUCAACCCUCGGAUGCCGAUCGAUACUGUCAGGCUAGAGUCCGGAAGAGGCGAGUGGAAUUCCUGGUGUAGCGGUGAAAUGCGCAGAUAUCAGGAGGAACACCGAUGGCGAAGGCAGGUCUCUGGGCCACUACUGACGCUGAGAAGCGAAAGCGUGGGGAGCGAACAGG